rnacentral:rRNA from 1 species
CGUAGGGUGCGAGCGUUAAUCGGAAUUACUGGGCGUAAAGCGUGCGCAGGCGGUUUUGUAAGACAGAUGUGAAAUCCCCGGGCUCAACCUGGGACCUGCAUUUGUGACUGCAAGGCUAGAGUACGGUAGAGGGGGGAUGGAAUUCCGCGUGUAGCAGUGAAAUGCGUAGAUAUGCGGAGGAACACCGAUGGCGAAGGCAAUCCCCUGGACCUGUACUGACGCUCAUGCACGAAAGCGUGGGGAGCAAACAGGAUUAGAUACCCUGGUAGUCCACGCCCUAAACGAUGUCAACUGGUUGUUGGGUCUUUACUGACUCAGUAACGAAGCUAACGCGUGAAGUUGACCGCCUGGGGAGUACGGCCGCAAGGUUG